CAUCACCCUAACACACACAUUACACUCAUACACACACAUCACCCUCACACACACAAACACACACACAGCACCCUCACAAACAGUGCACCACUCCUCUCACACACACACUGCACCCCUCAAACACACAAACACACACACUGCAUCCCUCACACACACACACACACACACUGCACCCCUCACACGCUAUACUCCUCACAAAUACACACUACACCCU